UGGCACUCCCUGAACACUCCUCAUUCUCACAGUAUAUUCUCCCUUGAGUGUUUGUCCUUAGCUCUGGUUCUUCUUGCCUUACGCACACAUGCGCACAAACACGCAUGCGCACACACACGAGCAGGCUCUCCAGCCCCAGACUAGGUUGCGUCACCCAACGCCAGCCCAACCUCAGCACCAGUGAGUCUCAGGCUGGUGGAGCCUUCACCUCCUGACCCUGUGGGAAGCACAAGUUGAGUCCGGCUCUACCCAGGAGGGGUUGGGAGAACCAGGGCUGGAGGGAGCAUGAGACUCCGAGUCAGACAGGCCUGGCCCCUACCAGCUGUACCAUGUCAGGCUGGUCCUCCUCUAGGAGGGUGAUGCCAGCCAGCCUUGCUCAGAUCACGCAGCUCGUUCAAGGGUCCGAGCCAGAAUGGAGGUGAAGGGGUGGCAUACAAGGCUCCCUAACAUGAAUCAUCCUCCUAAGGAGCCAGGAGCAUCAUCUUGCUGAUGUCAAGCCGUCAGCGUGCUGAGAGAGGGAUACUGAGGAUUCAGUCAAUGUCUACUCUGUACCCUUCUACCUUUGCUCAGGAAGAACUUGAAAACAGAGGAAGCCGGUGACCCAUGCGGCUUACCUGUAGCCACUGGAUCAAGAAGCAUCUCGCCAUCCUUGCCAUCUUACCUCUGUGUCCACCCCAGUCCAGGGACUGGAUUAAAUGUAUUCACUCAUUAAAUAUGUACUGAGCACUUA